UACUUAACUUUGAUAAAAUCCAACCCUAGUUACUUUACCCAGGAAAAUAAAAAAGACAUUUUCAUUUUGGAAACAAAACCACAACAUCAGGUUUAGGUGCUGUAGCUGUUGUUUUCAUGGGGAUACAGAAAUUAGAGUAACCUUUAUUCACAUGAUACAGAAAACCACAAAGCGAAAGUAUUCACAGGACGUGGUGUGGGCUGUGGGUCCAGGGCAGAGAGGAAGGACGUUCCAGCCUCUGCAGAGCAACAGUCCUAGGUGAAGAACAGUGUGAUGCUGGUGAAGGCUCGAGAACGAAGGCAGCGAAGCCCUGCGUGUAUCAGAUCAUCCGAGUUUCUCGUGGACAUUGGAGGGGUGAGAUGAAUGGUCCACUGCACAGAGUCAGCCUGAAGGCCCACGACGUCGGCACUGUCCCUCCAGCAUUCAGAGCAGCCCGGAAGCUCUCCCAAUCACACCUGAACCCUGAACCUGGCCUCCAUGCACCACAGCUUCCUUCCCACACCACCGCGUGUGUUUGUGUUCACAUGUGUGUGCGCCCUGUGUGUGUGCACCUGUGUGUGCUGGGGGCCGAGGCUGGCGUGUUUCACCCCCCAUGUUCACGAUCACGGCAUGCCUCUCCCCCUUGCCUGUCGGUGGUUGGAUGACGUGGGAUGCUGGGGGGUGGUCUCUUCUGAGCUGCUCUUCCCUCCCACCAUCACUCCAUUCCUAUCACAGGCUGCCAGAGGCAGACCCACACAUCCAAACACAAAGCCAAACCCCUCCCCAGGGGUCCAGAGCAAAGGUGGAUAUUGUCUUCCUUCUCAGGACCCUGGGAGUGACCACGUGGUGAGGCUGUGAGUCCAGGCCCUGGAGUUACUAACCACUUGGCUGAGACACUGUCUUCAGACUUCCUUGGCCUCACCAGCUGCUGCUCCCAGCCUCACUUCCCGUGGGGCACCUGUGCUUUUCUUGUGUUAAUAUUUGCCCAGUGUCCUUCCUUUGGGGGAACUAUCUGCACCAAUGCCCCCGUCGCAUCUAAUUUAGAUGGGGAACUAACCCCAGGGGUCCAUACCCCAACCACACAGGGCACUUGACAACCCCCUCUAAGCCCAUUGGUAGCUCCCUUUUAGUAAAUACUGAGCAGAAACCAGGGGCUGGAGGUAAGUUGGAAUCAGUGCCUGAGAGCCACCUAACUGCUGAGAAUCCUUUCAGAGUGGGUGGCUUGAUCCUUGCUUUGGUUCUCUGGGGCUUCCCUUGUGGCUCAGCUGGUAAAGAAUCCGCCUGCAAUGUGGGAGACUGGGUUUGAUCCCUGGGUUGGGAAGAUCCCCUGGAGAAGGGGAAGGCUACCCACUCCAGUAUUCUGGCCUGGAGAAUUCCAUGCAUUGUACAGUCUGUGGGGUCGCAAAGAGUCGGACACGACUGAGCGACUUUCACUUCACUUUCACUUGGUUCUCUGAGCUUGGUUCCCCACUCCCCUCCUUCACCCUCCCCCUCCCCCCACACCCCCACACCUGCCUCCAGUUAGCAGAAAUCCUUUGCUGUUGCUUAUAAAUAAAGCAUCAGACGCAACAUUUUAAUCUCAGCUUUGCAAAAAGGGAAAAAUUAAAGACAGAGUAUAUAUUCAUUUGAUUUGUGUCAUCCAUAAGCAUACACAUGUAUGUACGUAUAGUUUACCUUUUUAAAUGACGCUGCUAUAGGCUGUUAAAGGUUAGCAACUAGGUUUGUUUGGUUUUGUCUUUUGAAACAAGGAUCCCUGGGAGCAUUCUGUGCCUCAGCGAACUCCAAAGUCGGUUCCCGCCUCAGUGAUCACACCACCUGCCACCUUCGGGCUCAGCGGCCAAGUGGCUGGCGGGGUCCUGGAAUCAAGAGGCCGCCUCAGCAGUCAGCCUCGCUGGAGAGGCCGCUUCUCACUGCGGCCUGCUGCCCGUGUCCCUCCGUUCCCUCUGCUGAAGGAUUGAAUUUUUAAUGUUUUAUUCCCCCAGGAAAACCAGCAAAAACAGGGACUUCCCUGGUAGUCCA